rnacentral:rRNA from 1 species
ACGGAAGGCAGCAGUGAGGAAUAUUGGUCAAUGGACGGAAGUCUGAACCAGCCAUGCCGCGUGAAGGAAUAAGGCCCUAUGGGUCGUAAACUUCUUUUGUGGUGGAGCAAUAAGGUGCACGUGUGCAUCGAUGAGAGUACAUCACGAAUAAGCAUCGGCUAACUCCGUGCCAGCAGCCGCGGUAAUACGGAGGAUGCGAGCGUUGUCCGGAUUUAUUGGGUUUAAAGGGUGCGUAGGCUGUUCUUCAAGUCAGAGGUGAAAUACCGGGGCUCAACCCUGGAACUGCCUUUGAUACUGGAGGGCUUGAAUACUGUUGCCGUGGGAGGAAUGAGUAGUGUAGCGGUGAAAUGCAUAGAUAUUACUCAGAACACCGAUUGCGAAGGCAUCUCGCGAAGCAGCGAUUGACGCUGAGGCACGAAAGCGUGGGGAUCAAACAGGAUUAGAUACCCUGGUA